UACAGAGGGUGCAAGCGUUGUUCGGAAUUACUGGGCGUAAAGCGCGUGUAGGCGGCGGCGUAAGUCGGGUGUGAAAUCCCUCAGCUCAACUGAGGAAGUGCACUCGAUACUGUGUCGCUUGAAUGUCGGAGGGGAUGGCGGAAUUCCCGGUGUAGAGGUGAAAUUCGUAGAUAUCGGGAGGAACACCUGUGGCGAAGGCGGCCAUCUGGACGACAAUUGACGCUGAGACGCGAAAGCGUGGGUAGCAAACGAGG
rnacentral:rRNA from 1 species